AGCUUUCCAACUACGUGCUAUGGUUUGAAGUCUCGUGAAAGGGGAAGAUGCGGACCUCCCAGGAUGAAGGGGUUCCUGAUCAGCUUUGCUGCUUGGUGCUCGCCUUCUGGGUCCAUAGCUAGACAGCGAUCCCAAAGGAAAUCCACGAAGCCAGGAAUGAUGUCUCUCUUGAUGGCAGCCAUAUCCUCCCUGUCCUCCACUGUGAUUGGCUCAACGAUAACUUCUAAUUAAAUAAAUGAAUGGUGCACCGAUGAAUGGACACACUGGAACAACUUGGAUAUGACACCAUGCAUACUUUUUGCUAUGGAAUAAAUAACGUGUCCAAGGUCACACAGUCAGGGGAACCAACAGCGAAAGCCUGAUUUCCCCGACUCCAGAGCCCACAGACUUUCUUCUCUUACCACCAGGCCUUGCUGCGUCUGCAAGUUUCUCCUCAGUGUCUCAAAUGUGGGAUGUCUUGCCACAGACACUAUUUACUAAUUCAUUAAUCCACCUCCUCCUGGAAACUGUCUAGGGCACUUGCUCUCUGCCCCUCACGGGUACUGGGAAGGCCCUUCUGGAGAACAUGAGGAGCUUCCUCUUGUCUCUUCUGGAGGGCUGGGAAUGUCGGUCCUGCCCACUGUUCUGGUCAGCUGCAAAGACACAACGUCAUCCUCCAGAGAUGCCCAGUCCUGAUGAGGACACUGAAAGCCAGGACAGACACUCCCUCCAGGUCAGACAGCCAAGUACUAGGGCAGCCGCGGCUGGAACUCAGGCCUCCAGGCUCACUGCCCAGCACCCAUUCCCUGCUCUGGGUUUCCUCCGUGUGAGCAUUUCACAGAGACAGCGGCUCAUCCAAAGGAGACCCUUACUCACAGUAGGGCCCAAGAAUGGGGCUUGUAUGGGAGAUCCUGGCCUAAGCAUUAAAGAGGAGACCAUGCCUUACUCACCCCUGACCCUCCACUGCCACCCUGGCUCUUAGGUGGCCCAGCCACAUCCCCUGCAGAGAGAGGCAGACUGUGUAGCCUGAGCGCGGGAAUGCCUGUAAUACACAGAUUACGACACUAGAGGGCAGACUCACUGCUUCAAUCCUAGUGACCACAAAGGCUUUUAAGAAGCCUUCACCAGACUGAGGAUGAUGAUGGUGGUGGUGGUGGUGGAGGUGACUGAGACUACUAUGUAUUGAGUGAAGAUGAUUUCUCAUCUCUAACCAGCAGGUCUUCUGUGCAUACCACGUUCUGCUGUGUCCUGAAUCACAGAAAAUGGACCAGCUCCACCGUUACCCAAGUCUGAAACCUGGGCAUCGCCAUCAGCUUCCUCCUCCCUCCCUCUCUCCACUCUGCCACCUACUCCUGUCCAUUCUAUAUGCUAAAUCUUGUCCCUUCCCCAUCUUUCCAGGCCCACAGUUUGUCCUUCUCCUCCAACUUUCCAUUCGAUUUACAGAGAGCCACAGUCUCCUGCCUCAGGCCCUCAGGCAGGCCAGUGUUCCUGAACUUUGCUGCACAUUGGAAUUUCCUGGAGCUUCCAAAAUUCCAGCUGCCACACAUCAGACCAAUUAAGUCAGGAUGUCUGGGGGUGGGAACCCGGCAUUGGUACUUUUU